CGGCAAUCACAAAACUCCGCAGUACCAGC
rnacentral:piRNA from 1 species